CUGACUGCCACUGAGGCAGGGUCUCUUUCUGGAGAUUGCUCCUUGUGGAGUUUACUGCAAGCUUACAGCAUUGGAUGAAUUCUGACUGGAUACUCGUGAGAACUUUGCUGGUGCCAUUCUGGGACUGUGUCCAACCUGCUCCUCACUGAAAACACUGAGAGAGGUUUCCACUGGAACCGAAGCCCUUAAAAGUCAGAAGUGUGGGGAGGAGAUGCUGCAUGCAGCGAGUUGUGGGACAUCCUGACUCAGAGCCAUCAUAACAGGAUUGCCUACGGAGUUAUGUGCCACUUCCACAAUGCUUUAUGGAGAGAGAUACCAUAAAUCACAGCAGACUGAGUGACCCAUUAGAGGCCAUAACCAAUAAAGAGGAGGACUGACUACAAGGAGUAAAACUGGAAGGACUGAUAAUGCCAGAUGCCAGCUAGCACAGAGCAAAGAAUGCAGAUGGAGUGUGAAGAUGCAAUGAGGAGACCUGGGUGCCCAGCACCCUCUUAAGGAAGUAAUGGUGUGUGUCACGUUGCAAGGCGUCACAGGAGACAAGUAAAGCUGCCAUUCAACUACUUAUAAAGAAGGACCAAGAUAAAAUAAAGAAAAAUAUUCCAAAGUACCCUCUGAAAGCAAAAUAAAACUCUAUUUGAGGCACCUUAACAAUAUUUCAUUGCAAUUUCAUGGGCACUGAAACAAGAUCAGAACUGCAAUUCAACUUGGUUAAGACGUGAGAAGAGAGAUGGGAGUUCCUAGAAAGAGCCUGGCUGACUCAUUUGCACUGUGAUGCUGAAAACAGAGCUGAUACCAAUGUGGAAUGGGCAUUUUGGGGACAACCUCUGGAGAAACAGAAAGAUCAGCUUAGCUUUGGUGGCAAGGACGUGCACCAGGGAGCCACCGUGUGCCAGGGGAGGGGGGACUGAGAGCAGGGGAUGAGGCCACUUCCCACUGGGAAAAGUGUUUCU